rnacentral:sRNA from 1 species
UGUGGGUACAGAGUAUGCUUAGAUGAUGAAUCACGACGAUGAUGGUGAUGAUAACAACAAUAAUAAUAGAAAUCCUGGGACAUGAGGAGAUGUUUCAGCAGCCGUGAUGAUGCGGGUAUUUAUUCGCUGGCGCUGGUUGCUGGUUGCUGCUGAUGCAGGAAUGCCAGGGAUGGUUUUCAGGCAUGUUUUGAAGUAAACCAUGUCAAUAUAUGGAGAUGAAUAAUCUCAGUGAGAAGGAGGGAAAGAAGGAGAGGAAAAAAAGAAGGAUAAAGAAAAUCCAAAGAGGGGCAAAUCGGAGGAUGACUGCAAAAAAAAAAGGGAAAAAAA